GAGGGUCUAGCUCUGUGGUAGAGUGUGUGCUUAGCAUGCAUGAGGUCCUGGGUUCAAUCCCCUGUACCUCCA
rnacentral:tRNA from 1 species